UACGUAGGGUGCGAGCGUUGUCCGGAAUUAUUGGGCGUAAAGAGCUUGUAGGCGGUCUGUCGCGUCUGCUGUGAAAAUCCGGGGCUCAACCCCGGACUUGCAGUGGGUACGGGCAGACUAGAGUGUGGGUAGGGGAGACUGGAAUUCCUGGUGUAGCGGUGAAAUGCGCAGAUAUCAGGAGGAACACCGAUGGCGAAGGCAGGUCUCU
rnacentral:rRNA from 1 species